GAGGGGAGUGGGGUCCAGAUCUGGUCGAGGACGGGGCAACCAGCGGCGGCGGCGUGGCUGACGCUGGACGGAGAGAGAGGCAGAGCAAGGCACGCCGAAUCGCUGGAUGGCGCACCUCCCCUAGCCUCCUUCCUCUCCUGGUCGUUGGGGAAGCAGGACGGCCACCUCUGCUGGACGCCCUUCCCUGGUCGACGACGAGCGAUGCGGGCUGACACGGUGGCGCCCUUCCGUUGUGGAGUACCGUACUAGGACGACGGCGGUUAAGGUCAACGCCCUGCUCGACGCCCCCAUCUGCUGCUCGAUGCGCCCAUCCCCUCGCUGGUUGAGCUCAACGCCACCUUGCUCUGCCUCCGGCAGUCAUUUCAUCCAAUCUGGCUGGUCCGCUCCCCACCUCGGCGGCUCCUUCAGUCCGGCAGCACACCACGCUCAAGCCUCCACCACCCCAACUCCUCAAGGCUUUUCUUUGGUGUAUCAGGCAUUCAGGCUGGUGUAAUUUGUUUUCAGAAGUGAACAUGUUGUACAGUCCAAUAUAUCUACAAAAAUUAAGUUAUGCAGAACUACAGAACUAUUAGCAGCUUUUAAUUAUGUGUACUUAAAAUGGAUUUGGUGUCCAGGACAUGUGGAGUUGAGAUCAGAUGCUCAAAUACACAGAGUAAUGACAUCCUGUAUGCGCUUGGACACCCAGCAGAUUGAAAAUAUAGAAGCAAAGAUAUCCAAUACGAGGCCACGAUGCCCGACAGAGAUGCAGCCAAUACGCGCCCAAUCUUUAUUUCUUGAUGUUGGAACAACAAAUAAGAGCAUGUUCAUGUUUAUUUAUUAUGGUUUUUUUUCGAGAAAUUUUGGGGAUUUACAAGCUGAAAUUAUUGACUGUCUGAAAAAAUGUUUUAACCAAAACUGUUUGAACAAUGUGCCCUGGUUCUGCAUUCAUGGAACUGUAAAAAAAAUUGAACAAGUUCAGUCGGAGUUUUGUUCCUGUUAAUAUUCCAUUCUUAGUGUCAGUUUCUUUCCACUUGCUCAUCUUUUAAUGUUGAACUAUACAUGUACUUAUUAUUAAAGUUUUGUUGUCUUCCUAAACUAAUUAGAUUUUUUAAGCACUACUGAACUAAUUGGAUGCCAUCUUAAAUUACCUUCCCUUUGACAUUAUUGUACAGAUUCCUGAAACACUGUCCAGAAUUCCACUGCUACAGAAUUGAAAUUCGAUAGCACAUGAACGAGGACGGAUCCAAGGUUGAGUACUGGGUGUGGAACCCCUUCAGAUCCAAGUUGGCUGCUGUUGUACUCUGUGGUGUGGACAACAUCUGGAUUGUCCGAGGAAUUACAGCUUGGGGACUUGGGAGGCGAUCGUAAAAGCGGUGUGCUACAGUGUAAUGCACUAGCAAUAUGUGAAGAUUUUUUUAAGGAGGGGGUUAAUAAACAAUCAGAAAAUUCUUUUGCCCCCUCAGAAAACUAUGUUCCGUGUUUGGCCCCUCUGGGCAUUGAUGUGAAGCUAUACAGUCGUGUAAUAUGACCAAACUCAUCACCUCGGGGUUGAUCACAUUCGUCGUGAAUAGGUGGAUAACAUGACCAUCAUCGA